GGCGGCCCACUACCCGACGGUUACAGGCAUCGCUAUCAAUCUGUUGCCCUCUCCGUCUAUAAAAAGGGAGACCCUAGAUACGUUAUUUUAUAAGCUUUCAUUUUUUACCUAAAAACUCUGCUAAAUUCUCCGUUCGAGCACUCCAUUCUUGUUGAGGCAGAGAACUGACUUGAGCGUCGGAGGGUCUUGCCGGAGCAACCCCACCUCCGAUU
rnacentral:lncRNA from 1 species